GUGGGGUACCCACCCUCUCUCUGCCUCAGUUUCCUCCUCUGGGAGAUGGGGAUCCUUACAGGCCCUCCCUCUGACAGUGGGCCGAUGUGGGUGAAGCACCUGCAGCGCGCCCACUCUCGAAGAAUGCACCACGGACUCUCAAGACACGGCCGCCCAGCCUGCCUGCUGCAGUAGAGAUCAUAUGAUUGACAGAACGGAAGCUUUGUGACACCAAGAGCCCACCCACCAUGGACUGAUUCUGGCCGGUUUACAGAAGCUGUGCACUUGUGUGCCUGUGUGUCCUGAAAAGACCUUUUGAGUUAUGUUGGAAACGCCAUGAGCGUCUGCCUGCUUCACUCAGGACACUCACCAGUGAAGCCCUUGGCCACCAAUUCAAAGCUCUUGAGUGUCCUGAGACUGCCUGCUGCUUGGAAGCCCAGGGAAGUCCUGUGUGUUCUCCAUCCAAGCCCAAGUUCCUCUGCAGACCUGUGCAUGAUGGCACAUCCAGAAGAUUCCAACCCCCUGCUGUGAAUUUAAUCCCACUCCGUAAGGCUUCUCUGCAGUCCCCAGACAUCAGCAACCACCAGUAAGCUCUCUUUUCUGUGUCCUGCCUGAAUUCUUGUCCCUGUGAAGCAUUAGCAAAUUGAAAUGUUUGUUUUCUACCAGCAUUUGGGGGUUUAAUUUUGGGGGGAUAACAUGCUAGUAGGACAUUUCCAAGGCACAGAAGACUGCACACUGACAUCUGGACUUGUCUUUCCCUCUUCUGCGGCCUGCCAGCGUUUGCCUCUGGAAAUAACAACUGUUAAGUUUCUGCACAUCUUACCAGAUUUAUUAAUUGAACAAUCAUAUAGCAGUGACACCACAACAAAGCUUUUUAAAAGGGCUUUGGCUACCAGGGUAAAA